GACGAACCGUGCAAACGUUGUUCGGAAUCACUGGGCUUAAAGGGCGCGUAGGCGGGCCAGCCAGUCUGUGGUGAAAGCCCCCGGCUAACCGGGGAAGUGCCGUGGAUACUGCUGGCCUCGAGGAGGGUAGGGGCACCUGGAACGGUCGGUGGAGCGGUGAAAUGCGUUGAUAUCGACCGGAACUCCGGUGGCGAAGGCGAGGUGCUGGGCCCUUCGUGACGCUGAUGCGCGAAAGCCAGGG
rnacentral:rRNA from 1 species